GGAGAAUUACUCAAGAGGCUGAAGAGGACGGUUUGCUAAAUCGUUAGGUCGGGUAACUGACGCGGGGGUUCGAAUCCCCCAUUCUCCG
rfam:Streptococcus thermophilus LMG 18311, complete genome.